rfam:Enterococcus sp. 3H8_DIV0648 scaffold00002, whole genome shotgun sequence.
GUUUUGGUGACGAGUAAUCUGAAAGAAUCUUAGGGUAAGACCUCACAUCUACGAAAAAAAGCUUGAUAUAUGGCUGUGUACACGGAAACAUUUCUUGCCAGACUAAAGCCUAAUAAUUGCUCAAAAGUAGGUAGCGUAAAUCAAGAGGGAGAUUGAUGUGAAAGUUGCCUCA